rnacentral:antisense_RNA from 1 species
CUUGAUCGAGCCGAGCCACAGCGGCUUGUCCUCGUCACGGCCCUGGCCGUACGUGGCGAGCAGCGCCUGGGCCUC